GACGAACGCUGGCGGCGUGCUUAACACAUGCAAGUCGAACGGAAAGGCCCUUCUUUUGUGGGGUGCUCGAGUGGCGAACGGGUGAGUAACACGUGAGUAACCUGCCCUUGACUUUGGGAUAACUUCAGGAAACUGGGGCUAAUACCGGAUAGGAGCUCCUGCUGCAUGGUGGGGGUUGGAAAGUUUCGGCGGUUGGGGAUGGACUAGCGGCUUAUCAGCUUGUUGGUGGGGUAGUGGCUUACCAAGGCUUUGACGGGUAGCCGGCCUGAGAGGGUGACCGGCCACAUUGGGAAUGAGAUACGGCCCAGACUCCUACGGGAGGCAGCAGUGGGGAAUAUUGCACAAUGGGCGGAAGCCUGAUGCAGCAACGCCGCGUGCGGGAUGACGGCCUUCGGGUUGUAAACCGCUUUCGCCUGUGACGAAGCGUGAGUGACGGUAAUGGGUAAAGAAGCACCGGCUAACUACGUG
rnacentral:rRNA from 1 species